GUGGGGAAUAUUGGGCAAUGGGGGGAACCCUGACCCAGCGACGCCGCGUGGGUGAAGAAAUCCCUCGGGAUGUAAAGCCCUGUUGUAUGGGAAGAGCAGAAGACGGUACCAUACGAGGAAGCCCCGGCAAACUACGUGCCAGCAGCCGCGGUAAUACGUAGGGGGCAAGCGUUGUCCGGAAUUACUGGGCGUAAAGCGCACGCAGGCUGAAUUAUAAGUCGGUAGUCAAAUACGGAGGCUCAACUUCCGGAUAUCUAUCGAUACUGUAAAUCUAGAGUAUGUGAGAGGGAAGCGGAAUUCCCGGUGUAGCAGUGAAAUGCGUAGAUAUCGGGAGGAACACCAGUGGCGAAGGCGGCUUCCUGGCACAAUACUGACGCUCAUGUGCGAAAGCUAGGGCAGCGAACGGGAUUAGAUACCCCUGUAGUCC
rnacentral:rRNA from 1 species